rnacentral:rRNA from 1 species
UACACUCCUGCGGGAGGCAGCAGUGGGGAAUAUUGGACAAUGGGCGCAAGCCUGAUCCAGCCAUGCCGCGUGAGUGAUGAAGGCCCUAGGGUUGUAAAGCUCUUUCACCGGUGAAGAUAAUGACGGUAACCGGAGAAGAAGCCCCGGCUAACUUCGUGCCAGCAGCCGCGGUAAUACGAAGGGGGCUAGCGUUGUUCGGAUUUACUGGGCGUAAAGCGCACGUAGGCGGACUAUUAAGUCAGGGGUGAAAUCCCGGGGCUCAACCCCGGAACUGCCUUUGAUACUGGUAGUCUUGAGUUCGAGAGAGGUGAGUGGAAUUCCGAGUGUAGAGGUGAAAUUCGUAGAUAUUCGGAGGAACACCAGUGGUGAAGGCGGCUCACUGGCUCGAUACUGACGCUGAGGUGCGAAAGCGUGGGGAGCAAACAGGAUUAGAUACCCUUGUAGUCCCAUGAU